AACGAACGCUGGCGGCAUGCCUAACACAUGCAAGUCGAACGGACCCUUCGGGUCUAGUGCCGCACGGUUGGGUACCGCGUGGGAACCUGCCCUUGGGUUCGGAAUAACUCCCCGAAGGGGAUGCUAAUACCGGAUAAUGUCUUCGGACCAAAGGUUUUUGGCCUUUGGAUGGGCCCGCGUUGGAUUAGCUAGUUGGUAGGGUAAAAGCCUACCAAGGCGACGAUCCAUAGCUGGUCUGAGAGGAUGACCAGCAACACUGGGACUGAGACACGGCCCAGACUCCUACGGGAGGCAGAAGUGGGGAAUAUUGGACGAUGGGCGAAAGCCUGAGCCAGCAAGGCCGCGUGAGUGAUGAAGGCCUUAGGGUUGUAAAGCUCUUUUACCCGGGAUGAUAAUGACAGUACCGGGAGAAUAAGCACCGGCUAACUCCGU
rnacentral:rRNA from 1 species